GGAUCGUAAGGCUCUGUUGUAAGAGAAAAACGGCACUCAUAGGGAAUGAUGAGUGAGUGAUGGUAUCUUACCAGAAAGUCACGGCUAACUACGUGCCAGCAGCCGCGGUAAUACGUAGGUGGCGAGCGUUAUCCGGAAUGAUUGGGCGUAAAGGGUGCGUAGGUGGCAGAUCAAGUCUGGAGUAAAAGGUAUGGGCUCAACCCGUACUUGCUCUGGAAACUGAUCAGCUAGAGAACAGAAGAGGACGGCGGAACUCCAUGUGUAGCGGUAAAAUGCGUAGAUAUAUGGAAGAACACCGGUGGCGAAGGCGGCCGUCUGGUCUGGAUCUGACACUGAAGCACGAAAGCGUGGGGAGCAAAUAGGAUUAGAUACCCUAGUAGUCCACGCCGUAAACGAUGAGAACUAGGUGUUGGGGAAUAACUCAGUGCCGCAGUUAACGCAAUAAGUUCUCCGCCUGGGGAGUA
rnacentral:rRNA from 1 species